GAUGAACGCUGGCGGCGUGCCUAAUACAUGCAAGUCGAGCGUACAGAUGAGGAGCUUGCUCCUCUGACGUUAGCGGCGGACGGGUGAGUAACACGUGGAUAACCUACCUAUAAGACAGGGAUAACUUCGGGAAACCGGAGCUAAUACCGGAUAAUAUAUUGAACCGCAUGGUUCAAUAGUGAAAGACGGUUUUGCUGUCACUUAUAGAUGGAUCCGCGCCGCAUUAGCUAGUUGGUAAGGUAACGGCUUACCAAGGCAACGAUGCGUAGCCGACCUGAGAGGGUGAUCGGCCACACUGGAACUGAGACACGGUCCAGACUCCUACGGGAGGCAGCAGUAGGGAAUCUUCCGCAAUGGGCGAAAGCCUGACGGAGCAACGCCGCGUGAGUGAUGAAGGUCUUCGGAUCGUAAAACUCUGUUAUUAGGGAAGAACAAAUGUGUAAGUAACUAUGCACGUCUUGACGGUACCUAAUCAGAAAGCCACGGCUAACUACGUG
rnacentral:rRNA from 1 species